rnacentral:misc_RNA from 1 species
AAUUCUCAAACUGGAUAGCUUUAUUGUUAUCUUGGUUUGGUUUUGGGCUCUGCCGUCUCCUUCUUUGUUUGGAACGGCUGGCCUUAAAAGUAUUAGCUGACCCUCGUUUGUGGGAUUGGUUCUACUCAGCGUGAUAAAUUCAUUAUGACCGCUGAGGACAUCUUUCGGGAUGGCCAAUGCUACCUUGGAUCGCUUCUAAUCCCGGCAUUCGGAGUUUGUUCUCUGGGUCCAUUUCACUUUUCAACU